UACGAAGGGGGCUAGCGUUGCUCGGAAUCACUGGGCGUAAAGGGUGCGUAGGCGGCGCGGUAAGUCGGGUGUGAAAUCUCGGAGCUUAACUCCGAAACUGCAUUCGAUACUGCCGUGCUUGAGGACUGGAGAGGAGACUGGAAUUUACGGUGUAGCGGUGAAAUGCGUAGAUAUCGUAAGGAAGACCAGUGGCGAAGGCGGGUCUCUGGACAGUUCCUGACGCUGAGGCACGAAGGCCAGGGGGAGCAAAACGGGG
rnacentral:rRNA from 1 species